AUGUUGAAAAAUCAGUGCUCAAUCUUCUUAUUUUUUGAUACCACGAAUGCAAUAUAUCAGCAUCUUUUGCAGAUUUCUACAUCACUGGUGGUGGUUACACAAGUGCUUGGCAUAUGCCCUAAAAGCAGCAAUGCAAAAAUGGAGUUUUUUCUAACUUCUCAAAGAUCACUUCAAACAAGACGUGCUAGACUCCAGCAAUGCUUUCUGUCUGCUAGGAAACCAUUCCAGUAUCCGAGUUCAUCGAUGUAUAUAAAUCAUCGCUGCCGAGUGCCAUUCCCAGCCGAUGGUGAGAUGAACCUCAGUUACCGCCUUGGAAUAGGACAGUAAGCAAAUGCUGGAGAUCUUUUUUAUUGACUAGAAUCUUAGAAUCUUCCUGGGACAUCCUUCCACAAAUGCAGGUUCCUUACCUGUUUUUCCUAGAAGCAGAGCAGCGUGUGGCUGCGUAGGCCUAUUGUGUUGAUUCUGGCUUUGUGUGUUUAAAAAAAAAAAUUAAAAAAAAAAAAAUAUCACCACUAUCUGUGCCUUUACCGGGAGUGGUUUGGGGAUAAGUCGUAAGAACAGAAAAAUGAUUUUGGCGAUACAUUUGAGUUGUCUUUGCUAAUCAAAAUGAUCUUCCUGUUCUUUGUAUGUUUUUUUGGUGUACGUAGUGUUAUGUAGAGUUUACAGUGUAUUAUGUAAGUAUUUCAAAUAUUUAGCUAUUGCUGUGGAUUAAAUGUUAUUUUAACACCAGAACUUCAUGUGGUGCUGUGGAAGGUGACAGAUUUUUCAAAUUAGGCAAAAGUAUUUACUUGAAACUGUUUGCAUAAUAGGAUGUUAGUAAACUUAAAGACUGGAUAGUUUAUAUCUCACUUGAGUGCAUGAUCGAACUUGUUAGGGCAAGUAUUCACAAAUAGAUUGUCCUAAUAAACUGUAAUGUGGUUUGUUAUUCUAAGUAGUU
rnacentral:lncRNA from 1 species